GACGAACGCUGGCGGCGUGCCUAAUACAUGCAAGUAGAACGCUGAAGAGAGGAGCUUGCUCUUCUUGGAUGAGUUGCGAACGGGUGAGUAACGCGUAGGUAACCUGCCUUGUAGCGGGGGAUCACUAUUGGAAACGAUAGCUAAUACCGCAUAACAAUGGAUGACACAUGUCAUUUAUGUGAAAGGGGCAAUUGCUCCACUACAAGAUGGACCUGCGUUGUAUUAGCUAGUAGGUGAGGUAAUGGCUCACCUAGGCGACGAUACAUAGCCGACCUGAGAGGGUGAUCGGCCACACUGGGACUGUGACACGGCCCAGACUCCUACGGGAGGCAGCAGUAGGGAAUCUUCGGCAAUGGGGGCAACCCUGACCGAGCAACGCCGCGUGAGUGAAGAAGGUCUUCGGAUCGUAAAGCUCGGUUGUAAGUCAAGAACGGGUGUGAGAGUGGAAAGUUCACAGUGUGACGGUAGCUGACCAGAAAGAGACGGCUAACUACGUG
rnacentral:rRNA from 1 species